GCACAAGCGGUGGAUGAUGUGGAUUAAUUCGAUGCAACGCGAAAACCUUACUACCCUUGACAUGUCUGGAACCUUGGUGAGAGCCGAGGGUGCCUUCGGGAGCCAGAACACAGGUGCUGCAUGGCUGUCGUCAGCUCGUGUCGUGAGAUGUUGGGUUAAGUCCCGCAACGAGCGCAACCCUUGUCACUAGUUGCCAUCAUUUGGUUGGGCACUCUAGUGAGACUGCCGGUGACAAACCGGAGGAAGGUGGGGAUGACGUCAAGUCCUCAUGGCCCUUAUGGGUAGGGCUUCACACGUCAUACAAUGGUCGGUACAGAGGGUUGCCAAGCCGCGAGGUGGAGCCAAUCCCUUAAAGCCGAUCGUAGUCCGGAUCGUAGUCUGCAACUCGACUCCAUGAAGUUGGAAUCGCUAGUAAUCGCGGAUCAGCACGCCCGCGGUCCGAAUACGUUCCGGCCUU
rnacentral:rRNA from 1 species